UUACAGGGCAAUAUGCAC
rnacentral:misc_RNA from 1 species